ACAAUUCAUAUCCUGCAACUAGAGAGAAAAGUGGUAAAAUUCACUCACGUCAUGCCACGACGUUAAAAGUGACGCUUUACGGGAGGCUGCCCAUAUUUCUUUAAUUUUAAUUUGAUUUUGUGUUUUUUAUUUUUAAAUAAGUUUAUUUUGUUAUUUUUUUAUUAAUCUACCAAACUUCAUAAUUUUUUAAAUUGAUUUGAACAAAAUUUAGAGUGUUAAAGUAGUUGCACAAUGAAUUUUUUAUUUUAUUUUGCAUAAAGUUCAACUGUCCAUUUUUGACCCAAGUAAGUGACUUGUUUGUUUUAAAACAAAACCAUAAAGUUACCUCUAUUUUCCCCUUCUAGACAAAACACUGCACGCACAGCCCCAUUUUUCAGAAACACAGCAAUCAGGCAAUAGUUUUCUUUCUCCUCUCCUCCUCUUUUCUCUCCCUUGCUUUCUCUUUACUGGCAUAACUUUGUUUUUCUUUUCUCUCUUCUCACAUUUCCUUUUUCUUUUUCUGUGAUUUUUUUAUGUGGAGCUUAGAUCACAAAGUGCGAAACUUUAGCGUUGUUUGAUUGAGAUGAGGUUGUGAUUGAACUAUAUUUCCCACAUUUUUGGGAGACUAAUUCAUGGUCCUUGCUGUGACAUAGAGUUUGCUUAAGUGAUACGUGCAACUUGCUCGACAAAUUGUUUCAGAGGAAAAUUAAAUAGCUGGGGGAGUCUGAGUAAUCGUGCAACAUUAAGAGAUGCGUAGAAGUCAGUUUUGGUGUGAGAGAUUUUUGCUGAGUUUGGCCAAAGAAUGGCGUAAUGUGUAAAUGGGAGAGGAAGAGACAGGAGAACCGCAACAUAUGUAUUCUUUCGUACAGUUGAAAAUUCUCAGAUUUUGGAGUAAACGGGAUUUGAAUUUGGAGUAGCGUAAGGAGCGGAAAAGGUACAGAUGCUCAUUGAGGUGAUUCGUCAGUCUAGGGUAUCUGUUCUGCUGUUCGGAGUGCUCCUUUGAUCCGGAGCCUAUACUUUUGGUAUAGAUCUUUUUAUUGUACAUACCUUGUGUUUAUGACUAUUUUGGGUACGGCGGGGCCCUGUCCCGUCAUUUGAUUUUGUUGUCUGUAUUAGAGGCUUGUAGACAUGUAUGUGGGUCAUGGGUCGUGUUUGUUCAGUGAUGCUUAUUUGAUUUGUGUCCGGUUUUCUCCUACACUACGUUAA